AUUGAACGCUGGCGGCAUGCCUUACACAUGCAAGUCGAACGGUAACAGGUCUUCGGAUGCUGACGAGUGGCGAACGGGUGAGUAAUACAUCGGAACGUGCCUAGUAGUGGGGGAUAACUACUCGAAAGAGUGGCUAAUACCGCAUGAGAUCUACGGAUGAAAGCAGGGGAUCGGAAGACCUUGGUCUACUAGAGCGGCCGAUGGCAGAUUAGGUAGUUGGUGGGAUAAAAGCUUACCAAGCCGACGAUCUGUAGCUGGUCUGAGAGGACGAUCAGCCACACUGGGACUGAGACACGGCCCAGACUCCUACGGGAGGCAGCAGUGGGGAAUUUUGGACAAUGGGCGCAAGCCUGAUCCAGCAAUGCCGCGUGCAGGAUGAAGGCCUUCGGGUUGUAAACUGCUUUUGUACGGAACGAAAAGCCCUGGGUUAAUACCCUGGGGUCAUGACGGUACCGUAAGAAUAAGCACCGGCUAACUACGUGCCAGCCGCCGCCGUAA
rnacentral:rRNA from 1 species